AACGCGAAGAACCUUACCUGGGCUCGAAAUGCAGGAGACCGGGGUAGAAAUAUCCUUUCCCCGCAAGGGGCUGCUGUAUAGGUGCUGCAUGGCUGUCGUCAGCUCGUGUCGUGAGAUGUUGGGUUAAGUCCCGCAACGAGCGCAACCCUCAUCCCUAGUUGCCACCGGGUAAUGCCGAGCACUCUAGUGAAACCGCCCCGGAUAACGGGGAGGAAGGUGGGGAUGACGUCAAGUCCUCAUGGCCUUUAUGUCCAGGGCUACACACGUGCUACAAUGGUCGGUACAAACCGUCGCAAAGCCGCAAGGUGGAGCUAAUCGGAAAAAGCCGGCCUCAGUUCGGAUUGGAGUCUGCAACUCGACUCCAUGAAGCUGGAAUCGCUAGUAAUCGCAGAUCAGAACGCUGCGGUGAAUACGUUCCCGGGCCUUGUA
rnacentral:rRNA from 1 species